rnacentral:lncRNA from 1 species
AAAAGGCGGACGCACCCUGAUCAUCUGUCCUGUGACGGGCUCAGCCAUUGGAUCGCGAAUCUGCGUUCGCGCAUGCGUGGUCCUAGAGCUACGGUGACACUUCGCGUGCGGUGUAGGCGCAUCUUCGCUCUGUUGGCCGUGGCUUUAGUAAGCACACACCUGCCUGCUACUCUGGUUAUCGUGGCGACGGCAGGUCUGGAUUGCCAGACAGGUUUUUCUUUUUACCUCGAGGCUUUCUCUGAAGGGAGUCGGAGCAUUUAAAAGGCGGCCUCAAGGUGGAUUGAGUCGGGGGAGGAUUAGCAGUAUUUGCUUAGGUUGUAAAACCGCGACUUUAUCUAAUAAAUCGCCAUUCAAGGUGCAAAUACAAACUUGGAACAGAGGUGCGUGACAUUAACCCACUGCUCCCUGACUUCACACCCCACCUCCACUCUAACUGCUUUGCUAGUUAAUCCCCACUCAUCCUUCAAGAUUCAGAUGUAAAUGAAUUCCUCAAGGUCAGAGACUGUUUUUAUUCAUUUCUACAUCUCCAACACCUGGCAAAGUGCCUCGGCCAUAAAAGAUAAUCUGCCUCUGAAACCUUCCGUGGGCACAGAAAUUUCUGCAAGGAAAGCAUCAGCAACCAGAAUAAUUUGUUUUCAUCUUACUAAAGAAUCAAACCGUUGUGUAAUCCAGAGGAAGAGCAUCCCUCAUCCUGGCAGCCCUGCUCUACCACAUCUGCCUAUCCAUAGUGAAAGACACCAUAUUUUUAAGAAAAUAUGAAAUGCAGAGAUGAAAACUAUUUUGGAGCAAAUGAUUUUAAAUAAAAAGGUUGCAUACUCAUUUUAAAUGAUUUUAAUUUUCUGAAUAUUAUGUUCCAACUCAAGAUAUUGCACAAUGCUUUAAUAUUACACUUGUUAUUUUUCUCACACUAGUGAGAUUUUGAUAAACAUAGUUGACUUUGGAAGUAACAGAGAAUGUUUUCAUUGGUUAAAUAAUUUCAAUGACCUGUGAGGAACUGAAAGCAAGCUAUUACAUUCAUAUAAAAGAUAAGUACAUAUCCAUAAAUUCACUUGGAUUCAAUGAAAAAUAAUAAACUUCUCGUGUACUUAAUAAAACUUAAAAGGAAACAAAAUUUUAAAUGGUGCAAAAAUAGAAUGUAUUUCUUAAAGUUUUGAAAACACUUAGACCUAAAAGAAUUCUAAGAAUAUCUGGCCACAUUAUAAGCCUCUUAUUUGUAAAAGCUAACACUUGAUAAUUUUAAAACAAAAUCUAGAUUAAAUAAAUAUAGUUCUGCAUUAUUAAAGUAACAAAAUCUGUGAUGGUAAGGUAAAAUUUCCCUAAAUAAUAUAAACAAAAAACAACACCGGAAAGCAAAUGUAUCACGUUAUGGCAUCGAUAAACAUUUCUGUUCAAAUGUGUGGAUCUACAGCAUUUUCUCUAGGUAACACACACAGUUGUUAUCACAUUAGUAUGGAAUAAAUGCUGAAAAAUUAAGAAAUACUAAUGGUUACUAGGCCAAAGUCAAUUCCAAAAAACUCAAUUCUUAUAAACUUUUAUUAUAGUGAUUUUUACUGUAUUACAACACUUUUUUUCUCUUUUUCCUUUGCUUUGUGAUUCAUAUUUUUAGCAGAGGCAUAGCACUGGAGAUAAAGAAGGGGAAAUAUGCUUCAGGUGCCAGUUGCGUUUUUUAACUUCCAUUUUGCACUUUUGCUAUUUUUAGACUUGUUGCUCAUCAGAUUCAUUAACACACCCUACUUUUGCUAUGUUUUUUUCCUUCAUUUCCAGGAAAACUCAACCACAGCAUUAGGAGAAAAGGCAAAAACUUCACAUUGCCUGAUACACCACUUAUUCUUGCUCUGCCACUGAUUUGUAGUAGCUGUGUAUUACUGCAGUAGCGCUGUUGUCUCUAUUAAUGCUUAGAGAUUCCACACCAUGAAUUUUUUUAUGGUCAUCCUAAGAUACAAUGAAUUCUUCACAUUUUGUGAAAAUUAUAGGCAUCUGACAGCUGGUGUAUUUAUCUACCAUCUUCAUCAAACUCGAAUAUUUUAUAAAAUACUUGAGAAAAGAUCUCUACCAAAGAUACCCUCAUGAAACACUCUCUUAUCAAAAAGAAAAGGGUAAAAUUAUGGAUUAGUUCAAUUGUACCUUGAACUAGAAACACUGAUUAUGAUUAUAUUUCAGAAAACAGUUAUAAUUAUUUCAUUAAAAAUGAUUCCCAUUUAGAAUGAUGACUGGAGACUUAUUUACAAGAAAAGAUAGAGAAAUUUUAUGAGCCUAGGAUUGUGCCAGGAUUGCCUGUGAGGGCAGUUUUUUCAAUUGCAUAUGCAUGUUGAGAUGGGACUAUUUAUGAUCUUAUUUCCUUAUUCAUUAGAGAAGGAGAUGACCAGUGUUUUCUGGGGGUUUUUUGGUUAAUUUUGCAUAUUCUCUUAUUUCAAAAUUAAUCUAAUUAAUUUUAUUCAUGUGUCACUCAGAUUGCAUUUGGGUUUAAACAGAGGACUUAAUCAUAGCAUGGACAGAAAAGGCUCACCAUCUAUCUAAAUGACUCUGAUUGCACCAUCAUCCUCAUUGUUCUUGUGGAGUCUCGCUCUGUCGCCCAGGCUGGGGUGGAGUGACGCGAUCUCGGCUCACCGCAAGCUCCGCCUCCCGGGUUCACGCCAUUCUCCUGUCUCAGCCUCCCCAGUAGCUGGGACUACAGGCGUCCACCACCACGCCCGGCUAAUUUUUUGUACUUUUAGUAGAGACGGGUUUCACCGUGUCAGCCAGGAUGGUCUCGAUCUCCUGACCUCGUGAUCUGCCCGCCUCAGCCUCCC